AACGAACGCUGGCGGCAGGCUUAACACAUGCAAGUCGAACGCCCCGCAAGGGGAGUGGCAGACGGGUGAGUAACGCGUGGGAAUCUACCGUACCCUACGGAAUAGCUCCGGGAAACUGGAAUUAAUACCGUAUACGCCCUACGGGGGAAAGAUUUAUCGGGGUAUGAUGAGCCCGCGUUGGAUUAGCUAGUUGGUGGGGUAAAGGCCUACCAAGGCGACGAUCCAUAGCUGGUCUGAGAGGAUGAUCAGCCACAUUGGGACUGAGACACGGCCCAAACUCCUACGGGAGGCAGCAGUGGGGAAUAUUGGACAAUGGGCGCAAGCCUGAUCCAGCCAUGCCGCGUGAGUGAUGAAGGUCUUAGGAUUGUAAAGCUCUUUCACCGAUGAAGAUAAUGACGGUAGUCGGAGAAGAAGCCCCGGCUAACUUCGUGCCAGCCGCCGCCGUAAUAC
rnacentral:rRNA from 1 species